GAAUAUCAACAUUUUGUAUUUUGUAAAAGCAGAAUAUCAGCAUGAGUAUCAACAUGAGUAUGCUAUAAAUGUAUGCAAUUUCAUCUUCCAAAUUAUUCUACUACUAUUGGACUAGUCACCUAGUGUUACCUAGAAGGACUAUAAUGCAACAUACCUAAGGCAAUAGCUUCAAAAUUCAGUAUAACGAGGAAAUAGAUUUGGAGAAAGACAUACCUG
rnacentral:lncRNA from 1 species